rnacentral:rRNA from 1 species
UACAGAGGUCUCAACCGUUGUUCGGAUUCAUUGGGCGUAAAGGGUGCGUAGGCGGUCGCGCAAGUCGGAUGUGAAAUCUCAGGGCUCAACCCUGAAACUGCAUUCGAUACUGCGUGGCUAGAGUGCUGGAGGGGAGACUGGAAUUUACGGUGUAGCAGUGAAAUGCGUAGAUAUCGUAAGGAAGACCAGUGGCGAAGGCGAGUCUCUGGACAGCAACUGACGCUGAGGCACGAAGGCCAGGGGAGCAAAC